rnacentral:rRNA from 1 species
CGGAACGUACCCUGGAGUGGGGGGUAACGUAGCGAAAGUUACGCUAAUACCGCAUACGAUCUAAGGAUGAAAGUGGGGGAUCGCAAGACCUCAUGCUCCCGGAGCGGCCGAUAUCUGAUUAGCUAGUUGGUGGGUAAAGGCCUACCAAGGCAUCGAUCAGUAGCUGGUCUGAGAGGACGACCAGCCACACUGGGACUGAGACACGGCCCAGACUCCUACGGGAGGCAGCAGUGGGGAAUUUUGGACAAUGGGGGCAACCCUGAUCCAGCAAUGCCGCGUGAGUGAAGAAGGCCUUCGGGUUGUAAAGCUCUUUUGUCAGGGAAGAAACGGUUGGGGCUAAUAUCCUCGGCUAAUGACGGUACCUGAAGAAUAAGCACCGGCUAACUACGUG